UACCCUGAACGGUGGAUCACUUGGCUCGUGGGUUGAUGAAGAACGCAGCUAAUUGCACGUCAACUUGUAAACUGCAGAACACAUGAACAUCGAUGUUUCGAACGCACAUUGCGGUCCACGGAUACAAUUCCCGGACCACGCCUGGCUGAGGGUCG
rfam:Camponotus floridanus CamFlo_1.0_3.contig3966, whole genome shotgun sequence.